GUAAGAGAGUGCGUCGAGAACGUAACUUUGCGCGAACGUAAGAGAUACAACACGAGUGUAAACUUUACGGAUCACUUUGUUGGACAUUAAGUGCUUCCGCAGACUUCUUCUACCGCGUUGAGAAGUUGCGCAAUUUUACUUACGAGUUUCGAUACAGGGAAAACGGCAAGCGGUCAGAUAACGGAAUAACCACUGAUAAUGAAAGUCAAUCAAAAAAUUGGAGAUUCAAAUAUUACAUGACAUAUAGAUGUGAUCUAGUUGCAAAAACAAAUCGUGCAAACGUUUGAACUUGGAGAAAUACCCACAGGAAAGCAGAAAUCGUCGGUAGAAAUAUUCGAUAAUGGUCUCGAGGCAACAAACAAAGAUUGUCAGUGUUGGAAAGUCGAUAAGCUGGCGUUGCUUAGUGGUACGUGCCCGAACUAAGCCCGUGAAACACGAACGAUGAGCCGUCACACGCUGGAAUCUCGUGCCUCACACUGCGAGCGCUUUUGAUUCGGUUCGCUGCAAUCAAGAGGUUAAUUUUUCAGCAAGGCCAAUCUGAUGAUCGAGAUGUAUAUAGUAUAUUGACGACGUGAAUAUUAUUCAAUAUGCAUGUUCACGUGUAUGUUGAAAAGCGAGUACAAAUUUAUUUUACAUUUAUAAAGGUGGAUUGAUACGA